rnacentral:lncRNA from 1 species
GCAAAUAAAUAAUUUUGUGAAAAUUAAAGUUUAUCAUAAGUUUAGAAACUUGAUUUUGCAUUCAUGCUGGAGCAUAGUGUUUUUAUGUGUUGAUUGUGUUUUUAUUUUAUUUGUUUUUGCACAAAAUUCUAUUUGGAAAAGUGUUUUGGAAAAGAAAAAAAAACAGAAAAGAAAACAAAAAGAGAGAAGACUUACCUGGUGGCUUUCCGCCAGCCCAGCAGCUCGGCCUAGCUAAUCGUGCUCGGCCCACCUUUCCCCGCGGCCCAGGCGCACGCCUCCCCUCCCCCUCUCAGUCUCGGGUGACAGGGCCCCGCCUUUUUCUCCCACUGACAGCAUUGCCCCACCCGUCAGCCGACUCCUUUCUCCCCCUUCCUUCUUCCUUGAGCGCAACCGAGCCAGGUUCGUUGCCCGGGUAGGUGUCAAUCCCGGUUUUCGCGGGAUUUCUUCCCUGGGAGGAUCUCUCCAUCCGAUUUAAGCUCCGCAAUAAACCCCAGACACUUCCUAUUCCAUCUACGCUGCACCAAAGCCGACCUAGCAUCGUUUGGAUCUCACAGUGGGCAAGAAUCACAUCCGCCGCUGUGACUUUCAUCCCUCGCUGCGCCAAGCUCGACAACGAUCGCGUGCCGAGCUUCGCAUCCCCUCUACGAAGGUGCCGAGCCCCUCCCCAUACGCUCUACCGCGCCAAACCACACUCACAUCGGCGCCGAACUUUAGCAGGGAGCUCCGUCUGCCAAACCACGUCGCGAGCCGCCCCC